rnacentral:rRNA from 1 species
UGGGGAAUUUUGGACAAUGGGCGAAAGCCUGAUCCAGCAAUGCCGCGUGUGUGAAGAAGGCCUUCGGGUUGUAAAGCACUUUUGUCCGGAAAGAAAUCCUUGGCUCUAAUACAGUCGGGGGAUGACGGUACCGGAAGAAUAAGCACCGGCUAACUACGUGCCAGCAGCCGCGGUAAUACGUAGGGUGCAAGCGUUAAUCGGAAUUACUGGGCGUAAAGCGUGCGCAGGCGGUUUGCUAAGACCGAUGUGAAAUCCCCGGGCUCAACCUGGGAACUGCAUUGGUGACUGGCAGGCUAGAGUAUGGCAGAGGGGGGUAGAAUUCCACGUGUAGCAGUGAAAUGCGUAGAGAUGUGGAGGAAUACCGAUGGCGAAGGCAGCCCCCCUGGGCCAAAUACUGACGCUCAUGCACGAAAGCGUGGGGAGCAAACAGGAUUAGAUACCCUGGUAGUCCACGCCCAAACGAUGUCAACUAGUUGUUGGGGAUUCAUUUCCUUAGUAACGUGCUAACGCGUGAAGUUGACCGCCUGGGGAGUACGGUCGCAAGAUU